UACGUAGGGUGCAAGCGUUGUCCGGAAUUAUUGGGCGUAAAGAGCUCGUAGGUGGCCUGUCGCGUCGGCUGUGAAAACUGGAGGCUCAACCUCCAGCCUGCAGUGGGUACGGGCAGACUAGAGUGCGGUAGGGGAGAUUGGAAUUCCUGGUGUAGCGGUGGAAUGCGCAGAUAUCAGGAGGAACACCAAUAGCGAAGGCAGCUCGCUGGGACGUUACUGACACUAAGGCGCGAAAGCGUGGGGAGCGAACAGG
rnacentral:rRNA from 1 species